GUCUGCCUCGGGUCUUCCCGGCGCGGCGGAGGGGAAUGUGGCAGCGCUGUGGUCCGCCAACUAGGCGUGACGGCGUGUGCGGGGCGAGAAUGCUUUUUUGGGACGAGGGCCCGUGGUGCCAGUGAGGUCCCCACAGGAGUGCGGUCCGGGACCCCGAAACGCUUGCGAACCGAUGGUCGGGCUGAGACCCGUGACCCCCGCGAGGGCUGGAGCAGCCGACCGUGAACCGGAAGGGGCGGGGCUGGGGCGGCCGUGGGCACCAGCUCCGGAGCGGCAGUGACUUGCCGCUGCUUCCCCCGGGACUCUCAGGACCAUUGCCACUUGAAGCCAAGGGGAAGAGGGAGGGUGUCCUCUGUGGGGGCCAGGCUUUGCAUAGAGUGACUCGGGAGUGGUGGCGGUCUGGGAAAGGUCACCACCCUUUGAUCCAGUCCUGGGGCAGACACUUAACCUGGUCAGUGCCCUCCCCCGCCAGUUUGCAGGUUAGAAAACUGAGCCUCUAGUUGGUUAAACUAUCAAGGCCAAAAUUAUCCUGCCAGUGGUGAAAGAAGUUGGGAUUUGGAUGCAAGUCUGGUUUCAAAGACUGAUCUUUUCCUCUUCACAGUGGAACUCGAGAGAGAAAAGAUUUGGGACCAGGAGCGUAGUCUGCCCUUUUCCUCUUAAGCAAUACUCCCAAGGUCUUAUCAGCUCAAACUUUCAUUCCUGCUUUCAUUUCUUCAACAGCUGUAGAGCACCUAUGACGUGAGCGCUGGGGCAGCAGGGGUCAUGGAGCUUCCAUUCCAGCAAGGGGGGAGAGCAUUCUCAGUGCUGAGACAGAGUAGAAAGAACAUGCGGUAUAGAGCAUGGCUGGGUAAUGAAGCCCACUUCAGUGGGUAGACAGGAGGGAGGGGACAGUUGAGUUGUCACUUGAUGAUAGGGAUGCAGCCCUGAGAGGACAGGACAGAGAGUUUCAGGCAGAGGAAGACCUUGGAGUCACGUGAGUCAGCUUCACCCAUCUGGGCCAGUCCUUCAGGGGAGGGGACGCUGUGGAGGUAGUUGGUGCUCCAGGCUGAGGUCUGGCUCCAUACUGUGAACCCAUCUCAGCUCCAGCCAGGGAGCACCUGGCCUGGCCUUUGGGGACUUUGGAGCUCCUCCCCUCACCUGUCUUCAGUGAAAUGGAAAUCAGGUGCAGGCAGCCCAACUUCUCAUCUGACUUCUCUCUAAAUAAGCGGAGAGCCUUUUCGACACAGUCGAUGCGCACACGUCAUGGUGACAGGUACAUCUUGUGGGUUCAUAACUGCCUUACUGCGGAAACCAGCAGGAGAUGGACCAGGUUGUUUGCUGUUUCUGGCUACUUGAGCUUGUGUUAUUUUGAACCAGGUCUAAAUCCUUCUUUGCCUGCUCUGUGAUGAUGGAGGUGGGCUGUGGAAAUAUUUCACCUGUGACAUUUGGUAUGAUGUAAUGCCAGUAGAGGAGGCUGGAAGGACAGUGAGAAAGGAAGGAAUUUCCUCUUCCUGUUUCCCGAGUCCUGCAGGGUGCAGGGUCUCCUGCACUGGCCUCCUACAGGGUGCAGCUUUCUCCGUUGCCUGGCUCCUGCAGAGGGCAGCUUCCCCAGCGCCCAGUUCUGGUAGCUCAGGGCAACCAGCAGAGCCCAGCUGCUAGAAGCUUCCCUCAGAACUUUCUCAAAGUGACGUGCCACUGGCAAGGCACCUGACUGUGAACGGCUUCUUUGAGCAUCCCUCAGUUGACUUUGCAGCAACUUCCAAGGUCAUUUAAACAAAUUUUUAAAAAUUCCCUUUAACAAUAAAGAGGAAACCAAGGAUGCAGAUUAUGGCAAGAACAUAGUCAAGAUGAGGAAAUUGAGGCCCAGAGAGGUGAAGCGACAGGACGCCAGGAGCAUGCAGCUAGUCGUGGCAGGCCUGGCACUGGAAUCCAGGGGUUCCGCCGGGUGCCCCGUCAGCUGCCCAGCCCGGGAACUAGACAACUCCUCUCCCUGCCCUCCCCACUCCACCCCGGAAGGCACCCUGGGAACGGAAAGCUGGCUGCCCUCCAAGUCCCAGGAGCCCCGGAGUCCUGGAGCCCUGCCCUCGCUCCACCCUCCCCCAUCCCCAGAACAAAGUACACUCGGCCGCGGGAACAUUCCAGCCCCCAGAAGGCCAGGCGGGGCGGCGGCCGGGCUCCCGGAGCUGAGCUGGACGUCUGCGGCCCCGGCCCAGCCCCGCGGUGCCCCUGCCCGGCGCCCUCCCGGCUUCUGCGCCAGCCGAGUGUGCAGACGCAAUUGCACCGGAGGAAUUCUGCCUUCUCUUCCCUCACCGCCGGGACACAAAACUGAAAAGGCGUGGGACGCGGUGGGCGGAGCAGAUGCCGAGCAGGGCGCUGGUCCCCGCGGGCGCCGAGCGGGAGCCGAGUUCUCGGCGGCGCCAGCGCUGGGCAGAGCUGGCUCCGGGGCGCACUGGGCCCCCUGCCUCACUUUACUUCUUUAUAAGAAAUUAACGCAUGCUUUUGUUAAAAGAAAAAAAAGGACAAGUAGAACUAGGAGAAAGCUCUCCAUUCAUCCUACCACUCUGAGACAACUGCGAUUAAAUUUGGUUGUGUCCUUGCAGACAGUUCUAUGCACAAAAACACAAGUUGUAUAUUGAC